rnacentral:rRNA from 1 species
UACGUAGGGUGCGAGCGUUUGUCCGGAAUUACUGGGCGUAAAGAGUUCGUAGGCGGUUUGUCGCGUCGUUCGUGAAAACUUGGGGACUUGAACUCCAAGCGUGCGGGGCGAUACGGGCAGACGUUGAGUACUACAGGGGAGACGUGGAAUUCCUGGUGUAGCGGUGAAAUGCGCAGAUAUCAGGAGGAACACCGGUGGCGAAGGCGGGUCUCUGGGUAGUAACUGACGCUGAGGAACGAAAGCGUGGGUAGCGAACAGG